rnacentral:rRNA from 1 species
CAGCCGCCGCGGGAAUACAGAGGGUGCGAGCGUUAAUCGGAUUUAUUGGGCGUAAAGCGUGCGUAGGCGGCUUCUUAAGUCGGAUGUGAAAUCCCUGAGCUUAACUUAGGAAUUGCAUUCGAUACUGGGAAGCUAGAGUAUGGGAGAGGAUGGUAGAAUUCCAGGUGUAGCGGUGAAAUGCGUAGAGAUCUGGAGGAAUACCGAUGGCGAAGGCAGCCAUCUGGCCUAAUACUGACGCUGAGGUACGAAAGCAUGGGGAGCAAACAGGAUUAGAUACCCCAGUAGUCCCUGUCUCUUAUAC